rnacentral:ncRNA from 1 species
ACCGCCAGGAUCUUCGCGAUAUAGGGGAUCAGCGGCAGGUUGAGGAUCAGGAGGAUCAGGUUGCCGAGAUACAUGGAGAUGAUCACGGCCCAGAACACUUCCGGCUUGUCGACCAUCAGCCGCGGUCC